rnacentral:tRNA from 1 species
GCCCAGAUAGCUCAGUCGGUAGAGCAGAGGACUGAAAAUC